GUCAGUGUGUUGUAGUGAUUUGAGUGAUGGACUAUGACUCUGGAGACCAGGGUUCGAUUCCCAGCUCAGCCA
rnacentral:tRNA from 1 species